GGGUGAGUAACACGUGAGUAAUCUGCCCUGGACUCUGGGAUAGCCACCGGAAACGGUGAUUAAUACCGGAUAUGACCACUCUAGGCAUCUAGUGGUGGUGGAAAGUUUUUCGGUCCAGGAUGUGCUCGCGGCCUAUCAGCUUGUUGGUGAGGUAAUGGCUCACCAAGGCUUUGACGGGUAGCCGGCCUGAGAGGGUGACCGGUCACACUGGGACUGAGACACGGCCCAGACUCCUACGGGAGGCAGCAGUGGGGAAUAUUGGACAAUGGGCGGAAGCCUGAUCCAGCAACGCCGCGUGAGGGAUGACGGCCUUCGGGUUGUAAACCUCUUUCAGUACCGACGAAGCGAAAGUGACGGUAGGUACAGAAGAAGGACCGGCCAACUACGUGCCAGCAGCCGCGGUAAUACGUAGGGUCCGAGCGUUGUCCGGAAUUAUUGGGCGUAAAGGGCUCGUAGGCGGUUUGUCGCGUCGGGAGUGAAAACAGCGGGCUUAACUCGUUGCUUGCUUUCGAUACGGGCAGACUAGAGGUAUGCAGGGGAGAAUGGAAUUCCUGGUGUAGCGGUGAAAUGCGCAGAUAUCAGGAGGAACACCGGUGGCGAAGGCGGUUCUCUGGGCAUUACCUGACGCUGAGGAGCGAAAGUGUGGGGAGCGAACAGGAUUAGAUACCCUGGUAGUCCACACCGUAAACGUUGGGCGCUAGGUGUGGGGUCCUUUCCACGGAUUCCGUGCCGUAGCUAACGCAUUAAGCGCCCCG
rnacentral:rRNA from 1 species